rnacentral:tRNA from 2 species
AAGAAAGUGACAGAAUGGUUAUGUGGCUGGCUUGAAACCGGUUCAUGGGGGUUCAAUUCCUUCCUUUCUCG